AUGGAACGCUGGCGGCAGGCCUAACACAUGCAAGUCGAGCGGAUGAAGGGAGCUUGCUCCUGGAUUCAGCGGCGGACGGGUGAGUAAUGCCUAGGAAUCUGCCUGGGAGUGGGGGAUAACGUCCGGAAACGGGCGCUAAUACCGCAUACGUCCUGAGGGAGAAAGUGGGGGAUCUUCGGACCUCACGCUAUCAGAUGAGCCUAGGUCGGAUUAGCUAGUUGGUGGGGUAAAGGCAUACCAAGGCGACGAUCCGUAACUGGUCUGAGAGGAUGAUCAGUCACACUGGAACUGAGACACGGUCCAGACUCCUACGGGAGGCAGCAGUGGGGAAUAUUGGACAAUGGGCGAAAGCCUGAUCCAGCCAAUGCCGCGUGUGUGAAGAAGGUCUUCGGAUUGUAAAGCACUUUAAGUUGGGAGGAAGGGCAGUAAGUUAAUACCUUGCUGUUUUGACGUUACCAACAGAAUAAGCCCCGGCUAACUUCGUG
rnacentral:rRNA from 1 species